AAAACAUUGACGAACGCUGGCGGCGUGCUUAACACAUGCAAGUCGAACGGAAAGGCCCAGCUUGCUGGGUACUCGAGUGGCGAACGGGUGAGUAACACGUGGGUGAUCUGCCCUGGACUCUGGGAUAAGCCUGGGAAACUGGGUCUAAUACCGGAUAGGACCACUGAUUGCAUGGUUGGUGGUGGAAAGCUUUUGCGGUUCAGGAUGGGCCCGCGGCCUAUCAGCUUGUUGGUGGGGUAAUGGCCUACCAAGGCGACGACGGGUAGCCGACCUGAGAGGGUGAUCGGCCACACUGGGACUGAGACACGGCCCAG
rnacentral:rRNA from 1 species